AAUAAAGGUUGCUUAUUUUUCUUAUUAAUUUUCCAAAAGAGUUUAAGAUUUGGAGGCUUGUUAAAACAAAUCUUUUUAGCAAGAUUAAUUUUAAAUUUAGACAUUAUGAGUAUCAAAUUAAGCUGUCAGCCUGUGAAAUGAUACAGAGAAAGAUGUGUUACAACAAUUCCCUCCUCUCCAACCUCUGUAGAGAUGGGUAAGUCUGAACAGGAAAACCAGAGGCCAGGAAUCACAUUUUAGUAAUUCUUUUCUAGUUAUGUCAGAUUUCUAGCAUGCUAUUAGAGACAUAUGUGUCAUCUUCACCAUCAACCAACAUAUCAUUGCUGUUUCAAACUGUUACUAGAGCUGUUGACACAGAAUAUUGUGUCUGUCGACAGCUCCAAUUAGCUGGCGUGUCUGACUGGUGACAGCAUGGUCUACUUUUGUUUACAGGGACGGUGGGAGCUGUAUCUCCGUCUCCCAACCUCCAGUGGCAGACAGAUGGAUAUUCUGUCUUCACAAACCAUCGUGCAAAGCAGACCCAACGGCCUUUUGUCUGCUUUUAGAAAUGACUGCAAGAAUCCUCCCAGCUGUCAAGUUAUGGGGUGAAUAUGUAUAAAAUGCAUCAUGGUUUACCUUUUCAUCACUUGAAGACCAGUGGUUACGUGAUUUGGACCCACUGAGGAACGUAGAAUGAUAUCAGUUCAAAAGUAUUGGAUACCUGUGGAGCACUUUGCAAGAUAUUGCAGGAUUUUGGGGGCUUUCUAUAGAACUGCACAGAAGUAUUGCUGAGUACUUUGCAACAUGAAUUCCUGCAAUUCACAGGAAUUUGCCACGCUUUUCAGGUGAUCAUGCUUGGUAAGUGCUUCAUUUUUAUCUCAAUUGGUUUGAUUUUGUGCUUUCAUUAUAUUAUUGCAUUUAGGUUUUGCAUACUUCGGGGUUUACUUUUUUUUUUUAACCUAUCUUUAAUCCCA
rnacentral:lncRNA from 1 species